AGUGAACGCUGGCGGUAGGCCUAACACAUGCCAGUCGAACGGCAGCACAGUAAGAGCUUGCUCUUACGGGUGGCGAGUGGCGGACGGGUGAGGAAUACAUCGGAAUCUACUUUUUCGUGGGGGAUAACGUAGGGAAACUUACGCUAAUACCGCAUACGACCUACGGGUGAAAGCAGGGGAUCUUCGGACCUUGCGCGAUUGAAUGAGCCGAUGUCGGAUUAGCUAGUUGGCGGGGUAAAGGCCCACCAAGGCGACGAUCCGUAGCUGGUCUGAGAGGAUGAUCAGCCACACUGGAACUGAGACACGGUCCAGACUCCUACGGGAGGCAGCAGUGGGGAAUAUUGGACAAUGGGCGCAAGCCUGAUCCAGCCAUGCCGCGUGGGUGAAGAAGGCCUUCGGGUUGUAAAGCCCUUUUGUUGGGAAAGAAAAGCAGCAGGUUAAUACCCCGCUGUUCUGACGGUACCCAAAGAAUAAGCACCGGCUAACUUCGUG
rnacentral:rRNA from 1 species